rnacentral:rRNA from 1 species
AUUGAACGCUGGCGGCAUGCCUAACACAUGCAAGUCGAGCGGAAGCAGGGAGCUUGCUGCUGGAUUCAGCGGCAGGGGGGUGUGUAAUGCCGAGAAAUCUGCCUGGUAGGGGGGGAUAACGUCCGAAGACGGGCGCUAAUACCACAUGCUCCCUGAGGGAGAAAGUGGGGGCGCUUCGGCCCGCGCGCUCUGAGCGGAGCCUAGGUCGGAUUAGCUAGUUGGUGGGGUAAGGGCCUACCAAGGCGACGAUCCGUAACUGGUCUGAGAGGAUGAUCAGCCACACUGGAACUGAGACACGGCCCAGACUCCUACGGGAGGCAGCAGUGGGGAAUAUUGGACAAUGGGCGAAAGCCUGAUCCAGCCAUGCCGCGUGUGGGAAGAAGGCCUUCGGAUUGUAAACUACUUUUGGACGGAACGAAGAGCAGUAUGUUAAUACAUUGGUGUCAUGACGUUACCAAAAGAAUAAGCACCGGCUAACUACGUG